UUUGAAAGUCAUCUUGAGAACGCCUGAUCUUGUCUGAUCUCAGAAAUGCCGCAGAAUCAGGCCUGGUUUGUACUCGGAUGGGAGCCCGCUGGGAAUAUCAAGUGCUGUCUGCG
rnacentral:rRNA from 1 species